AGACCCCAGCAGGUUAGGAAUUUUGGAAUUCAUCAGCCUGGCUGUCGGUCUCGUCAGUAUCCGUGGCGUGGACUCCGGUCUCUACCUGGGAAUGAACGAGCGAGGAGAACUGUAU